rnacentral:tRNA from 1 species
UCAGUGUGGAAUAGUGGUUUGAGCAUUGGACUACAACUCUGGAGACCAGGGUUCAAAUCCCUGGAUGAG